AGCAGUGAAAUGCUUAGAUAUCUGAAAGAAUACUAGUGGCGAAGGCGUUUUUCUAUUUUAAUACUGACACUGAUACACGAAAGCAUGGGGAGCAAACAGGAUUAGAUACCCUGGUAGUCCAUGCAGUAAACGAUGUCAACUAUUUAUUAAAUAACAUAUUUAUAAUAAUUUAUUUUUUAAAAAAUUUUAAUAUGUAUUUUUAGUAAAAAAGCUAACGCGUUAAGUUGACCGCCUGGGGAUU
rnacentral:rRNA from 2 species